UAUUUGCGAAUGUAGUCUUGACGAA
rnacentral:sRNA from 1 species